CCUACGGGGGGCAGCAGUGAGGAAUAUUGGUCAAUGGGCGAGAGCCUGAACCAGCCAAGUCGCGUGAGGGAGUACUGCCCUAUGGGUUGUAAACCUCUUUUGUCGGGGAGCAAAAGCCGGACGUGUCCGGCUGUGAGAGUACCCGAAGAAAAAGCAUCGGCUAACUCCGUGCCAGCAGCCGCGGUAAUACAGAGGAUGCGAGCGUUAUCCGGAUUUAUUGGGUUUAAGGGGUGCGCAGGCGGAUUUUUAAGUCAGCGGUAAAAUCGUGGGGCUCAACCCCAUCCAGCCGUUGAAACUGGGGAUCUAGAGUGUGCGAGAGGGAUGCGGAAUGCGUGGUGUAGCGGUGAAAUGCAUAGAUAGCACGCAGAACCCCGAUUGCGAAGGCAGCAUACCGGUGCACAACUGACGCUCAGGCACGAAAGCGUGGGUAUCGAACAGGAUUAGAUACCCCAGUAGUC
rnacentral:rRNA from 1 species